AUUGAACGCUGGCGGCAUGCUUUACACAUGCAAGUCGAACGGUAACAGGCCUUCGGGUGCUGACGAGUGGCGAACGGGUGAGUAAUGCAUCGGAACGUACCCAGAGGUGGGGGAUAACGCAGCGAAAGCUGUGCUAAUACCGCAUGUGAUCUGAGGAUGAAAGCGGGGGACCGAGCAGCAAUGUUUGGCCUCGCGCCUUUGGAGCGGCCGAUGUCGGAUUAGCUAGUUGGUGGGGUAAAGGCCUACCAAGGCGACGAUCCGUAGCUGGUCUGAGAGGACGACCAGCCACACUGGGACUGAGACACGGCCCAGACUCCUACGGGAGGCAGCAGUGGGGAAUUUUGGACAAUGGGCGCAAGCCUGAUCCAGCAAUGCCGCGUGCGGGAAGAAGGCCUUCGGGUUGUAAACCGCUUUUGGCAGGAACGAAACGGUGUCCGCUAAUACCGGGUGCUAAUGACGGUACCUGCAGAAUAAGCACCGGCUAACUACGUG
rnacentral:rRNA from 1 species